rnacentral:rRNA from 1 species
UACGAAGGGAGCUAGCGUUGUUCGGAAUCACUGGGCGUAAAGCGCACGUAGGCGGAUUUGUCAGUCAGGGGUGAAAUCCCGGGGCUCAACCUCGGAACUGCCUUUGAUACAGCAAGUCUUGAGUUCGAGAGAGGUGGGUGGAAUUCCUAGUGUAGAGGUAAAAUUCGUAGAUAUUAGGAAGAACACCGGUGGCGAAGGCGGCCCACUGGUCCGGUACUGACGCUGAGGUGCGAAAGCGUGGGGAGCAAACAGG